rnacentral:rRNA from 1 species
AGCGAACGCUGGCGGCAGGCUUAACACAUGCGAGUCGAGCGGGCACUUCGGUGUCAGCGGCAGACGGGUGAGUAACACGUGGGAACGUACCCUUUGGUUCGGAAUAACGCUGGGAAACUAGCGCUAAUACCGGAUACGCCCUUUUGGGGAAAGGCUUGCUGCCGAAGGAUCGGCCCGCGUCUGAUUAGCUAGUUGGUGGGGUAAUGGCCUACCAAGGCGACGAUCAGUAGCUGGUCUGAGAGGAUGAUCAGCCACACUGGGACUGAGACACGGCCCAGACUCCUACGGGAGGCAGCAGUGGGGAAUAUUGGACAAUGGGCGCAAGACUGAUCCAGCCAUGCCGCGUGAGUGAUGAAGGCCUUAGGGUUGUAAAGCUCUUUUGUCCGGGACGAUAAUGACGGUACCGGAAGAAUAAGCCCCGGCUAACUUCGUG